ensembl:lncRNA novel transcript
GCGGCCGCCCGGAGGACACUGAUGCUUCUGGAGCUCGCGAAGGGUCCCCCGCGGGAGAGGAACAAGGCCGCUUGCGCUCCGCAGAGGCGCAGGCACGGGGCUGGGGCCCGGGGCGGGGGCGCGGGUGGGCGGACCCCUCCCGCAAGCCCAUGAUGGCCAGGCCAAGGCCGCUGGGAAAGGCAGGACGCUCGCCCAUGCGCUGCCAGCUGGGCUUUUCUCCUUCGCCCGCCCUGUGUUCCAGGGCGCGACCCCGUUCGGUCCAGCCGCUGGCUCCGGGGCUGAACCCCAGGUAGAACUGGAAGAUUUUGCUGAAAGAUUGGACAUGGCAUUCAGAGAAACAGAGGUUUUAAUGACAAACUCCAAGUUUUUGGCUGGAGCAACUGGAAGAAUGAGGUUGCCAUGAACCGAAAAGAGAGAUUGCAGAAGUAACCAAAUUUACUCACGUAGGCCAGGAAUUUCUAUGACGUGUUCCAAAUUCAGCCUCUCACUGAACACUUCCAGAGCAAGGCAACAUAAACAUCUGCAAGAAGAACAUUGUGUGAGAAAUAUCAAGUGAGAGUGGAAGAGUCUGCGGAGGGCCUCCCUGGGGCUCACCUGUGCUUUUGCCUGAGCUUCACCGUGUCAAGCAAUGUAAAAUGAACCUGCUUCCCCUUCAUCUUCCACCAUGAUUAUAAGUUUCCUGAGGAAUCUCCAGCCAUGCUUCCUGUACAGUCUGCAGAAUUGUAUUUGGCAGAAGAAAUUUCUAAGCAGCAAAGCAUGAAAGAUGUGGCCCAGUUGCUUCUAACAGCAUAAUCUCAUGUGUGAGCAAAGAGACGAUCUGAAACUGGAACUUAUAUUUUAAACGGGAGCAGAGCAUGAAAGUUUAGAAAAUAUGCAGCCUGACGAUAUGGUAGAAAAGAAAAACCCAUUUUUCUGGGGAGGAAUUCAAGCUGGCUGCAUAAAUUUGCAUAAAUAAAGAGGAGCCAAAUGUUAAUAACCAAGACAACGGGGAAAAUGCCUCAAAGGCAUUCCAGAGACCUUUGUGGCAGCCCCUCCCAUUACAGGCCUGAAGGCCUAGGAGGGAAGAAUGGUUUCAUGGGCCAGGCCAAAGGCCCCGCUGGAUGGGCCCUGGGACACUGCUCCUUGUGUCCUAGUCAUUCCAGCUCCAGCCAUGGCUAAAAGGUCCCCAGAUACAUCUGAGGCCACUGCUCCAGAAGAUGCCAGCUAUAAGCCAUGGUGACUUCUAUGUGGUGUUAAGCCUGUGCGUGCACAGAGGGCAAGAGUUGAGGCUUGGGAGCCUCCACUUAGAUUUCAGCGGAUAUAUGGAAAUACCUGGAUGUCCAGGCAGAAGUCUGCUGCAGGGUUGGAGCCCUCAUGGAGAACCUCUACUAAGGGCAGUGAGGAGGGGAAAUGUGGGGUUGGAGCCCUCACACAGAGUCCCCUCUGGGGCACUGCCUAGUGGAGCUGUGAAAAGAGGGCCACUGUCCUCCAGACCCCAGAAUGGUAGAGCCACUGGCAGCUUAUACCGUGUGUCUGGAAAAGCCUCAGGCACUCAACACCAACCCUUGAGAGUAGCCAUGGUAGCUGAGCCCUGCAGAACCACAGGGGUGCAGAUGCCCAAGGCCUUGGGAGCCCACCCCUUGCAUCAGUGUGUCCUGGAUGUGAGACAUGGAGUCAAAAGAUAUUAUUUUGGAGCUUUAAGAUUUAAUGACUGACCUGCUGGGUUUCAGACUUGCAUGGGGCCUAUAGCCCCUUUGUUUGGGCCAAUUUCUCCCUUUUGGAUCAGGCAUAUUUACCUGAUGCCUGUACCCCAUUGUAUCUUGGAAGUAACUAACUUGUUUUUUAUGUUAUAGGCUCAUAGACAGGAGUGACUUGCCUUGUCUUAAAUGAGACUUGGACUCUGGACUUUUGAGUUAAUGCUGAAAUGAGUUAAGACUUGGGGGACAGUUGAGAAGGGAUGAUUGUAUUUUGCAAUGUGAGAAGGACAUGAGAUUUGGGAGGGGCCAGGGGUGGGAUGAUAUGGUUUGGAUUGUGUCCCCACCCAAAUCUCAUGGUAAAUUAUAAUCUCCAAUGUUGGAGGAGGGGCCUGGUGGUGGGGG